rnacentral:lncRNA from 1 species
GGAAAUGGAAGAAGGAAGAGAACCCAAGGAAGAAGAAGGAUUGUUCCCACAACUCCUAGCUCAACUCCUAGCUUAGCUCCUAGCUCAACUCCAAGUACUCCAGCAGAGAGAAAUCGCAUUUGGGUGCCAAAAGAUCCAGAGCUCUUCGUGUUUUAGGGUUAAAAAGACUAAAUUUGCCACAUCAGCGUUGCCGCCACUUAGCAGUAGCUUAACGGCACCCUA